UGGGGAAUAUUGGACAAUGGGGGGAACCCUGAUCCAGCCAUGCCGCGUGUGUGAAGAAGGCCUUAUGGUUGUAAAGCACUUUAAGCGAGGAGGAGGCUCUCUUGGUUAAUACCCAAGAAGAGUGGACGUUACUCGCAGAAUAAGCACCGGCUAACUCUGUGCCAGCAGCCGCGGUAAUACAGAGGGUGCGAGCGUUAAUCGGAUUUACUGGGCGUAAAGCGUGCGUAGGCGGCUUUUUAAGUCGGAUGUGAAAUCCCCGAUCUUAACUUGGGAAUUGCAUUCGAUACUGGGAAGCUAGAGUAUGGGAGAGGAUGGUAGAAUUCCAGGUGUAGCGGUGAAAUGCGUAGAGAUCUGGAGGAAUACCGAUGGCGAAGGCAGCCAUCUGGCCUAAUACUGACGCUGAGGUACGAAAGCAUGGGGAGCAAACAGG
rnacentral:rRNA from 1 species